GAGUGCUCGGGUUGAGAUCUACGCAGAGGAACGAGGAGCUGGGAGUGCUCGGGUUGAGAUCUACGCAGAGGAACGAGGAGCUGGGAGUGCUCGGGUUGAGAUCUACGCAGAGGAACGAGGAGCUGGGAGUGCUCGGGGUGAGAUCUAUCCAGGGGAAUGAGGAGCUGGGUCAGCCUCAACCUCCCAGGCUCAAGCAAUUCUCCCACCUCAGCCUCCCUAGGAGCUGGGGCCAGACGUGUGCCACUGCACCCAACUAAUUUUUAACAAUUCUAUUUUUGGUAGAGACAGGGUCUUGCUACAUUGUGCAGGCUGGUUGAAAACUCCUGGAUUCAAGCUAUCCUCCCAUCGCAGCUUCCCGGUGCUAGGAUUACAGAUGUAAAGAUUCCCACCUGGCGAAACCACCAUUUCUGUUGCAAAGCCAGGUCCCAGUAAUGCCACGUCAGGAGGGCUUGCGGCCUGGGAGGCAUCACUGGAGACCACAACGAUGAUGGAGCAGAGGAGCAGGCACCCUUGGGCACAGGCUCCCAGGACCUCGCCAAACGGUGCACAUAUCUGAAGUGACCUGGGAGGACAGAAGUGCUGGAAGCCAGGACCAGCCUCACCCUGGGGCUUCCUGACAAGGCCCACCCUGCAGAAGAAACAAGGGUCAAGGGGCUCCAGACACCCAGGCCCACUCUAAGGGUCCACAGCACAGACAGACAGGGUGUGGCGUGCACGGAGAAGGACUCGGCCUGGCUGGAGCGUGGUGCCGGGACAGGAGCCUGCUGUGAGGGAAGAGCCAGAACAUAGGUGAAUGUGAGGACCCCCCCACCCCUGUUCUGCAAGAGACCAACAGGAACAAGUGGGCCGAAAAAGAAAGGGAAACAAGCAGGCCUCAGGGACACCCACACGCAACCUGCUGGAGGAGGCUGCUAGGCUUGGCUCCACAUGACCCCGCAAGCAUGCCGACACCUCAGGGCAUCAUCUCCCAGGCACUGCCAUCGUACAGGCUCCAAUUCACAUGCAGUAUCCCAGGAAGCCAUGCAGAGCACAAGGGUGGGGCAAGCAGCCAUGUGUCACCAGCACUGAGUUCCACAGGAGAGAGACAGGAUCACACUCCAACACACGUUCCACAGGAGAGACAGGAUCACACUCCAACACACGUUCCACAGGACACAGAGACAGGAUCACACUCCAACACACGUUCCACGGGACACAGAGACAGGAUCACACUCCAACACAUGUUCCACAGGAGAGAGACAGGAUCACACUCCAACACAUGUUCCACAGGACACAGAGACAGGAUCACACUCCAACACACGUUCCACGGGACACAGAGAC
rnacentral:lncRNA from 13 species